GAAUGGAAGGUAAUGACGAAGACCCAUCACCUUCAAGUCAGAAAUUAUGAUGUCAUAUAAUCAUUGUUUCUCAACACUACCUUUAAAUAAGGUUCCAGGAAAAAACUCUUUCGACUAACAAAAUUAUGUGCCCCAAUUCAGGAAGGGGGAUUACCGUCUAUUCUGUAACUCAAAUAAUUGUAUUGGCUACUUGACUAGCAAUCCUAUUCUUCUUUUCUUCGNNNNNNNNNNACUAUUUCCACACCUGAAGUUAGUUUAAUUGCCACAGCACAUGACAACAGUGCUCCCCAAUCAAAGAUCUAGGCUUUUUUUCAUGGCUUCAUAAACCAAAUACGUUAUGCUUGCAGAUGGCACAACCUUGAG
rnacentral:misc_RNA from 1 species